CUGCCGUCCGCGCCGCUGCGCCGUCGCCGUGAGUUGUCUCCAGCCGCUGCACCCGACGCCGCCGUCGCUGCCGGGAGGUACUGCCUCUGGUCAGCCCCCGAUUAACCCCGAUUUCAACUGAAGAGAUCGGUUCUUAUUCAAGGCUGAAAGGCAGAUUCUUGAAGCUGGAGAAUUUUGAUUACUGCCGAUAGCAACAAUUUGAUGUUAGAUUCUGAAGCAGGAGAUACUUUAGAUGCAACGAUAGAACAUAGUUUACCUUGAAUAGAAGUUGACGAAGACAGAUUGACUGCAGAUGGGUGAGGGAAGGGAAAAACUGAUAUAGGAUUUAAUAUAGUGGAAAGGGGGUUAAGGAUAUGGGAGAGAUUUGUGGGAUGGGUGGAAACGGUUUCAACGUGGGAUUAGGGGCUAAUUUUCGAAUUCUUCCUCCUUUUUAUUAAACGUGAUUUGGCUGAAAA